rnacentral:rRNA from 1 species
AUUGAACGCUGGCGGCAGGCCUAACACAUGCAAGUCGAACGAGGGGCGGACGGGCGAGUUAUGUCGGGGAAACUGCCUGAUGGACGGGGAUAACUACUGGAACAGGUAGCUAAUACUGCAAAACAUCGUAUGUGCCCAGAUGGGUUUGGCUAGUAGGUGGGGUAAAGGCACACCUAGGCGACGAUCCCUAGCUGGUCUGAGAGGAUGACCAGCCACACUGGAACGGAGACACGGUCCAGACUCCGACGGGAGGCAGCAGUGGGGAAUAUUGCACAAUGGGAGCAAGCCUGAUGCAGCCAUGCCGCGUGUAUGAAGAAGGCCUUCGGGUUGUAAAGUACUUUCAGCGGGGAGGCGUUACCCGCAGAAGAAGCACCGGCUAACUCCGUGCCAGCAGCCGCGGUAAUAC